GCGUGGUGUGGUCUCAUUUCACUCAAAUACAAAACUCUCUUUGCCCAAGUUAGAAGCAGUUUCCUUCUGCUUCAUUACUACACAACUCAAUGGUGCUUGUCAGCGGCAAGAAGCCUGCAGGUGUUUCUAAGAUGCUCAUCAACAAUGAUCACCAUGAUGCGACUUGUCUAUUUACAUAUAAGGAAAAUGAUGGGGACGAUGACGAUGACGACGAUGAUGGAGUUGACGUAGCACCUGCGGCGUAGCUAGCUAAUGACACGAGGGAUUAGAGGAGAUCAUCUCAGAAUAGCUGGAGAGCUGGAGAAAUCAACCAAUACAUAUGUAUUUGCAGACUUUAAAAGGCAGUAAACUACUUAUAAUUAUGCGCUUUAUGUAUAGCUGAAGUUUACUCUUAGUUGUAUGACUCACUAGUAAACUUGUCACUACAAAGAGUGGCUUCCAUGCCAAUACAUAUAUCUACACUGUAAUAUUAUACUACUGCCCUUGCUUUUUCCUUAUGUUGCUUAUCUCUCUCUCUCUCUCUCUCUCUCUCUCUCUCUAACACAUAUCAUGAUGUUUGGCUUAUUGACAGGCUUAGGGCUUUGCACUGCCAAGCUGCCAAAUGCUCUUCAUGGUUUUACAAAUUAGGGAAAUGUUAACGCGUAUCUAUAAGCAUAUAUUUGUUCCAAAAUGUCCUCUUGCAUUAACAAAGAUAUCAUUCUUCCGGAACAAACUGAAGUUAGGAAGACCCUUUUACAUAUAUUAUAUGCAAUCUUAUCAUCUUCCUGCAAUACAUGUUCCCAUUUUAAUUUGUUUAAUAACUCUUGCCUUUGUUGACAUAAUGGCAUUGCUUAAUUUCACUUGGACACAAAUUAUUUGACAGUUUCCCUUCUCAAACUGAAAAAACCAACAAAUUCAGCUAAGAGGACCAACGAUCACUUCAGGCAUGUUUUACUGUUAAUGCUAGCUAAUAGUGAAACUGAUAGCUGAUUCAUUUGUUACAUAUAUUAGAUGAAGAAGCAGUGUAGAAGAUUAAUUUUAGCAGAUUAGCUUCUUGCCAAUGAUGUUUUCCAAGUUGUAAAAGCAGGAAAUAAAAUUUUUACACUAGUUUCUUUUAAAGUCUUUCUUCAAAUGAUUAUUACAUUAGGUAGCUUAAUGUUUUUUCGUCUAUAUAUAUAUGUCCUAUUUGUCUAAUCAAUAUUCUCAUUUCUAUCUCUCAUAAUAAGUCAACAAUUCAGGCUCCAUGUUGUGGUAGAUUGAUAAUUAGAGCAAGGUGUUUUCCACCGCAAAAGCAUGGACUUGACUCGAAUUAGCACUGGACAAUCUACUAUUUGGGAGAGGAAAGCAAGUUGGCAGGCACACAAGACUUUUGUUUCUUGCUGAUUUGUAAUGCUUUCCCUUGCUGCUGCGGAUAACUGUCAGUGAACAAAAGGGACUUUGAUGAAGAGUAGAAAUUAAGGACAAUUUAAUUUGUUAGAGCACGCGUGCACACACAUAUAUAUUUAUAUUAUCAAAGAAAAAAUCUCUGUCCUUCUCUCAACUUCAUGUCAAAUUGGAGCUUAAUUUUAUGUUCUAAGACGUGUGACUCUUUUUAAUUCAUCUUAUAGUUUCAACGUUCAAA
rnacentral:sRNA from 1 species